CCUACGGGAUGCACCAGUGGGGAAUUGUUCACAAUGGGCGCAAGCCUGAUGACGCAACGCCGCGUGGGGGAUGAAGGUCCUCGGAUUGUAAACCCCUGUCGAAUGGGACGAAAGACUCUGGAGCUAAUCAUCCGGAGAGUGACGGUACCGUUAAAGGAAGCCACGGCUAACUCUGUGCCAGCAGCCGCGGUAAUACAGAGGUGGCAAGCGUUGUUCGGAAUUACUGGGCGUAAAGGGCGCGUAGGCGGCCUUCUAAGUCAGACGUGAAAUCCCCCGGCUUAACCUGGGAACUGCGUCUGAUACUGGGAGGCUUGAGUAUGGGAGAGGGAUGUAGAAUUCCAGGUGUAGCGGUGAAAUGCGUAGAUAUCUGGAGGAAUACCGGUGGCGAAGGCGGCAUCCUGGAACAUUACUGACGCUGAGGCGCGAAAGCGUGGGGAGCAAACAGGAUUAGAUACCCCGGUAGUC
rnacentral:rRNA from 1 species